GACAGAGGGGGCAAGCGUUGCUCGGAAUUACUGGGCGUAAAGGGCGCGUAGGCGGCCUGCUAAGUCAGACGUGAAAUCCCCCAGGCUCAACCUGGGAACUGCGUCUGAUACUGGAUGGCUUGAAUCCGGGAGAGGGAUGCAGAAUUCCAGGUGUAGCGGUGAAAUGCGUAGAUAUCUGGAGGAAUACCGGUGGCGAAGGCGGCAUCCUGGACCGGCAUUGACGCUGAGGAGCGAAAGCCAGGGGAGCAAACGGG
rnacentral:rRNA from 1 species